rnacentral:rRNA from 1 species
UACAGGGGGUGCAAACGUUGCUCGGAAUUAUUGGGCGUAAAGCGCGCGUAGGCGGCUACUUAAGUCGGAUGUGAAAGCCCCCUGGCUCAACUGGGGAAGUGCACCCGAAAUUGAGUGGCUUGAGUGCGAAAGAGGGUCGCGGAAUUCCCGGUGUAGAGGUGAAAUGCGUAGAUAUCGGGAGGAACACCUGUGGCGAAAGCGGCGCACUGGACCACAACGUGACGCUGAGGCGCGAAAGCUAGGGAGCAACAGGG